UAGCUCAGCUGGGAGAGCACCUGCCUUACAAGCAGGGGGUCAUAGGUUCGAGCCCUAU
rnacentral:tRNA from 1 species